rnacentral:siRNA from 1 species
UCCAAAUAAAACCCUAAUUCCCCU